rnacentral:rRNA from 1 species
CCCUUAGAUGUCCGGGGCCGCACGCGCGCUACACUGAAGGAAUCAGCGUGGCUUUCUCCCUGACCCGAAAGGGUUGGGAAACCCGUUGAAUCUCCUUCGUGAUAGGGAUUGGGGCUUGAAAUUGUUCCCCAUGAACGAGGAAUUCCCAGUAAUCGCGAGUCAUAAGCUCGCGUUGAUUACGUCCCUGCCCUUUGUACACACCGCCCGUCGCUACUACCGAUUGAACGGUUUAGUGAGGGCCUCGGAUUGGUCUCGGCCCGCUCUUUACCGGGCGGCGCCGUUGGUCGAGAAGACGCUCGAACUUGAUCGUUUAGAGGAAGUAAAAGUCGUAACA